GUAUUCCAGGAGAGCGUGUGGUUGAUGGGAAAGUUUGGAGUCUUCAUCAUGCUGUUAGCAGGCAGCAGAUGUUUCAUUUCGAGGAUGUCUGUGAAAAGACAAGCAUCCUUGGCCAUGUGGACUGACUUGAUUUUAAAGUGAGGUUUGGGGCUGGUGGCAGGUGUCGUUAUAAGAGGGAGGCAGAGGAAGAUGACACAAAUAGGAGAAGAAAAUAUGAAUACAGAGGCAUAGAUUCGAGUGCUGUGGUCACAAGCCAAGGAAUGCCAGCGGCCACCAGCAGCUGGAAGAGCCAAGGAAUGAAGAGAGUACGGCCUUGCCAACACCUUGAUCUUGGCCCAGCCAUACUGAUUUUAGAUUUCUGGCCUCUAGAAUUGUGAACAAAUAAAUUUCUGUUGUUUUAAGUCA